rnacentral:rRNA from 1 species
AGCGUACACGGUGGAUGCCCUGGCAGUCAGAGGCGAUGAAGGACGUGCUAAUCUGCGAAAAGCGCCGGCGAGGUGAUAUGAACCUUUGACCCGGCGAUGUCCGAAUGGGGAAACCCAGUGUGAUUCGUCACACUAUCGUUAACUGAAUACAUAGGUUAACGAGGCGAACCGGGGGAACUGAAACAUCUAAGUACCCCGAGGAAAAGAAAUCAACCGAGAUUCCCCCAGUAGCGGCGAGCGAACGGGGAGCAGCCCAGAGUCUGAAUCAGCUUGUGUGUUAGUGGAACCGUCUGGAAAGUCGCACGGUACAGGGUGACAGUCCCGUACACGAAAGCACACAGGUUGUGAACUCGAAGAGUAGGGCGGGACACGUGGUAUCCUGUCUGAAUAUGGGGGGACCAUCCUCCAAGGCUAAAUACUCCUGACUGACCGAUAGUGAACCAGUACCGUGAGGGAAAGGCGAAAAGAACCCCGGCGAGGGGAGUGAAAAAGAACCUGAAACCGUGUACGUACAAGCAGUGGGAGCACCUUCGUGGUGUGACUGCGUACCUUUUGUAUAAUGGGUCAGCGACUUAUAUUCUGUAGCAAGGUUAACCGUAUAGGGGAGCCGAAGGGAAACCGAGUCUUAACUGGGCGUUAAGUUGCAGGGUAUAGACCCGAAACCCGGUGAUCUAGCCAUGGGCAGGUUGAAGGUUGGGUAACACUAACUGGAGGACCGAACCGACUAAUGUUGAAAAAUUAGCGGAUGACUUGUGGCUGGGGGUGAAAGGCCAAUCAAACCGGGAGAUAGCUGGUUCUCCCCGAAAGCUAUUUAGGUAGCGCCUCGUGAACUCAUCUUCGGGGGUAGAGCACUGUUUCGGCUAGGGGGCCAUCCCGGCUUACCAACCCGAUGCAAACUACGAAUACCGAAGAAUGUUAUCACGGGAGACACACGGCGGGUGCUAACGUCCGUCGUGAAGAGGGAAACAACCCAGACCGCCAGCUAAGGUCCCAAAGUCAUGGUUAAGUGGGAAACGAUGUGGGAAGGCACAGACAGCCAGGAUGUUGGCUUAGAAGCAGCCAUCAUUUAAAGAAAGCGUAAUAGCUCACUGGUCGAGUCGGCCUGCGCGGAAGAUGUAACGGGGCUAAACCAUGCACCGAAGCUGCGGCAGCGACACUAUGUGUUGUUGGGUAGGGGAGCGUUCUGUAAGCCGUUGAAGGUGUGCUGUGAGGCAUGCUGGAGGUAUCAGAAGUGCGAAUGCUGACAUAAGUAACGAUAAAGCGGGUGAAAAGCCCGCUCGCCGGAAGACCAAGGGUUCCUGUCCAACGUUAAUCGGGGCAGGGUGAGUCGACCCCUAAGGCGAGGCCGAAAGGCGUAGUCGAUGGGAAACAGGUUAAUAUUCCUGUACUUGGUGUUACUGCGAAGGGGGGACGGAGAAGGCUAUGUUAGCCGGGCGACGGUUGUCCCGGUUUAAGCAUGUAGGCGGAACGAUUAGGUAAAUCCGGUCGUUUUUUAACGCUGAGGUGUGAUGACGAGGCACUACGGUGCUGAAGUAACAAAUGCCCUGCUUCCAGGAAAAGCCUCUAAGCAUCAGGUAACAUCAAAUCGUACCCCAAACCGACACAGGUGGUCAGGUAGAGAAUACCAAGGCGCUUGAGAGAACUCGGGUGAAGGAACUAGGCAAAAUGGUGCCGUAACUUCGGGAGAAGGCACGCUGAUAUGUAGGUGAAGCCCCUGCGGGUGGAGCUGAAAUCAGUCGAAGAUACCAGCUGGCUGCAACUGUUUAUUAAAAACACAGCACUGUGCAAACACGAAAGUGGACGUAUACGGUGUGACGCCUGCCCGGUGCCGGAAGGUUAAUUGAUGGGGUUAGCGGCAACGCGAAGCUCUUGAUCGAAGCCCCGGUAAACGGCGGCCGUAACUAUAACGGUCCUAAGGUAGCGAAAUUCCUUGUCGGGUAAGUUCCGACCUGCACGAAUGGCGUAAUGAUGGCCAGGCUGUCUCCACCCGAGACUCAGUGAAAUUGAACUCGCUGUGAAGAUGCAGUGUACCCGCGGCAAGACGGAAAGACCCCGUGAACCUUUACUAUAGCUUGACACUGAACACUGGUCCUUGAUGUGUAGGAUAGGUGGGAGGCUUUGAAGCGUGGACGCCAGUCUGCGUGGAGCCGACCUUGAAAUACCACCCUUUAAUGGCUGGUGUUCUAACGUAGACCCGUGAUCCGGGUUGCGGACAGUGUCUGGUGGGUAGUUUGACUGGGGCGGUCUCCUCCCAAAGAGUAACGGAGGAGCACGAAGGUUAGCUAAUCCUGGUCGGACAUCAGGAGGUUAGUGCAAUGGCAUAAGCUAGCUUGACUGCGAGAGUGACGGCUCGAGCAGGUGCGAAAGCAGGUCAUAGUGAUCCGGUGGUUCUGAAUGGAAGGGCCAUCGCUCAACGGAUAAAAGGUACUCCGGGGAUAACAGGCUGAUACCGCCCAAGAGUUCAUAUCGACGGCGGUGUUUGGCACCUCGAUGUCGGCUCAUCACAUCCUGGGGCUGAAGUAGGUCCCAAGGGUAUGGCUGUUCGCCAUUUAAAGUGGUACGCGAGCUGGGUUUAGAACGUCGUGAGACAGUUCGGUCCCUAUCUGCCGUGGGCGCUGGAGAAUUGAGGGGGGCUGCUCCUAGUACGAGAGGACCGGAGUGGACGCAUCACUGGUGUUCGGGUUGUCAUGCCAAUGGCAUUGCCCGGUAGCUAAAUGCGGAAGAGAUAAGUGCUGAAAGCAUCUAAGCACGAAACUUGCCCCGAGAUGAGUUCUCCCUGACUCCUUGA